rnacentral:rRNA from 1 species
GACGAACGCUGGCGGCGUGCUUAACACAUGCAAGUCGAACGAAGUGGCGAACGGGUGAGUAAUACGUGGGUUACCUGCUCUCCUUUUUGGGAUAAGCCUUGGAAACGGGGUCUAAUACCGAAUAAAGGGGGAGGGGAUCGCGGCCUAUCAGCGUGUGGGGGGGGUGAUGGCCUACCAAGGCGGUGACGGGUAGCGGGCCAGAGGGGGUGACCGGCCACAUUGGGACUGGGAUACGGCCCAGACUCCUACGGGAGGCAGCAGUGGGGGAUAGUGCACAAUUGGCGAAAGCCUGAUGCAGCGACGCCGCGUGGGGGAUGAAGGCUUUCGGGUUGUAAACCUCUUUCGAUUUCGAACGGGUAGGUGGAGAAGAAGCGCCGGCUAACUACGUGCCAGCCACCGCGGUAAUAC